UAGGAAGGAGGGUUCAUAUAGCCAUGGUGGUUAUCUAGGAAGGAGACCAGGAGGAGGGUUCUUAAAGCCAUGGUGGUUAUCUAGGAAGGAGACCAGGAGGAGACCGGGAGGAGGGUUCAUAAAGCCAUGGUGGUUAUCUAGGAAGGAGGGUUCAUAUAGCCAUGGUGGUUAUCUAGGAAGGAGACCAGGAGGAGGGUUCUUAAAGCCAUGGUGGUUAUCUAGGAAGGAGACCAGGAGGUGGGUAUAGCCAUGGUGGUUAUCUAGGAAGGAGACCAGGAGGAGGGUAUAGCCAUGGUGGUUAUCUAGGAAGGAGACCGGGAGGAGGGUUCAUAAAGCCAUGGUGGUUAUCUAGGAAGGAGACCAGGAGGAGGGUUCAUAUAGCCAUGGUGGUUAUCUAGGAAGGAGACCAGGAGGAGGGUUCAUAAAGCCAUGGUGGUUAUCUAGGAAGGAGACCAGGAGGUGGGUUCAUAAAGCCAUGGUGGUUAUCUAGGAAGGAGACCAGGAGGAGGGUUCAUAAAGCCAUGGUGGUUAUCUAGGAAGGAGACCAGGAGGUGGGUAUAGCCAUGGUGGUUAUCUAGGAAGGAGACCAGGAGGUGGGUAUAGCCAUGGUGGUUAUCUAGGAAGGAGACCAGGAGGUGGGUUCAUAAAGCCAUGGUGGUUAUCUAGGAAGGAGACCAGGAGGAGGGUUCAUAUAGCCAUGGUGGUUAUCUAGGAAGGAGACCAGGAGGAGGGUUCUUAAAGCCAUGGUGGUUAUCUAGGAAGGAGACCAGGAGGUGGGUAUAGCCAUGGUAGUUAUCUAGGAAGGAGACCAGGAGGAGGGUUCAUAAAGCCAUGGUGGUUAUCUAGGAAGGAGACCAGGAGGUGGGUUCAUAAAGCCAUGGUGGUUAUCUAGGAAGGAGACCAGGAGGAGGGUUCUUAAAGCCAUGGUGGUUAUCUAGGAAGGAGACCAGGAGGUGGGUUCAUAAAGCCAUGGUGGUUAUCUAGGAAGGAGACCAGGAGGUGGGUUCAUAAAGCCAUGGUGGUUAUCUAGGAAGGAGACCAGGAGGAGGGUUCUUAAAGCCAUGGUGGUUAUCUAGGAAGGAGACCAGGAGGAGGGUUCAUAAAGCCAUGGUGGUUAUCUAGGAAGGAGACCAGGAGGAGGGUUCUUAAAGCCAUGGUGGUUAUCUAGGAAGGAGACCAGGAGGAGGGUUCUUAAUGCCAUGGUGGUUAUCUAGGAAGGAGACCAGGAGGUGGGUAUAGCCAUGGUAGUUAUCUAGGAAGGAGACCAGGAGGAGGGUUCAUAAAGCCAUGGUGGUUAUCUAGGAAGGAGACCAGGAGGAGGGUUCUUAAAGCCAUGGUGGUUAUCUAGGAAGGAGACCGGGAGGUGGGUAUAGCCAUGGUGGUUAUCUAGGAAGGAGACCAGGAGGAGGGUUCAUAAAGCCAUGGUGGUUAUCUAGGAAGGAGACCAGGAGGAGGGUUCAUAUAGCCAUGGUGGUUAUCUAGGAAGGAGACCAGGAGGAGGGUUCAUAAAGCCAUGGUGGUUAUCUAGGAAGGAGACCAGGAGGAGGGUUCAUAAAGCCAUGGUGGUUAUCUAGGAAGGAGACCAGGAGGUGGGUUCAUAAAGCCAUGGUGGUUAUCUAGGAAGGAGACCAGGAGGAGGGUUCAUAAAGCCAUGGUGGUUAUCUAGGAAGGAGACUAGGAGGUGGGUAUAGCCAUGGUGGUUAUCUAGGAAGGAGACCAGGAGGAGGGUUCUUAAAGCCAUGGUGGUUAUCUAGGAAGGAGACCAGGAGGAGGGUUCAUAAAGCCAUGGUGGUUAUCUAGGAAGGAGACCAGGAGGAGGGUUCAUAAAGCCAUGGUGGUUAUCUAGGAAGGAGACCGGGAGGAGGGUUCUUAAAGCCAUGGUGGUUAUCUAGGAAGGAGACCAGGAGGAGGGUUCAUAAAGCCAUGGUAGUUAUCUAGGAAGGAGACCAGGAGGAGGGUUCAUAUAGCCAUGGUGGUUAUCUAGGAAGGAGACCAGGAGGAGGGUUCUUAAAGCCAUGGUGGUCAUCUAGGAAGGAGACCAGGAGGAGGGUAUAGCCAUGGUGGUUAUCUAGGAAGGAGACCAGGAGGAGGGUUCUUAAAGCCAUGGUGGUUAUCUAGGAAGGAGACCAGGAGGUGGGUAUAGCCAUGGUGGUUAUCUAGGAAGGAGACCAGGAGGAGGGUUCUUAAAGCCAUGGUGGUUAUCUAGGAAUGAGACCAGGAGGAGGGUUCAUAUAGCCAUGGUGGUUAUCUAGGAAGGAGACCAGGAGGUGGGUAUAGCCAUGGUGGUUAUCUAGGAAGGAGACCAGGAGGUGGGUAUAGCCAUGGUGGUUAUCUAGGAAGGAGACCGGGAGGAGGGUUCUUAAAGCCAUGGUGGUUAUCUAGGAAUGAGACCAGGAGGAGGGUUCAUAUAGCCAUGGUGGUUAUCUAGGAAGGAGACCAGGAGGAGGGUUCCUAAAGCCAUGGUGGUUAUCUAGGAAGGAGACCAGGAGGAGGGUUCAUAAAGCCAUGGUGGUUAUCUAGGAAGGAGACCAGGAGGAGGGUUCCUAAAGCCAUGGUGGUUAUCUAGGAAGGAGACCAGGAGGAGGGUUCUUAAAGCCAUGGUGGUUAUCUAGGAGGGGGAAUCUCAGUUUUUAGUUUCCAUCUGCUGGCCAGCUUCACAACAUUUAGAAAAACAGCCUGUUAUCAUACUUAUUUAAGUAUGAGAAAAUAUUGAUCCAAACUUAAGACUGUUUUUCAAUGUGAGCAGUUGAUACAAGACCUACUGUAUGUUAUAUUGACCUGCACACUGGAUUGUCUAAGUGGUGGAUUGGAUUUAGAACACAGACCGGUGAGGUGUGUUAGCCUAGUGAGACAGGUGUGGAGAAGUCCACAGACCAAUGAGGUGUGUUAGCCUAGUGAGACAGGUGUGCAGAAGUCCUGAACAGAAGAGAGCCGUGACUACAUGAACGCUGGCCAACAGAGUAGAGCCUAGA